rnacentral:rRNA from 1 species
AAGCGCUGCGUGAAUAUCGUAGUGCCGUGACGUUACCCACAGAAUAAGCACCGGCAAACUCCGUGCCAGCAGCCGCGGUAAUACGGAGGGUGCGAGCGUUAAUCGGAAUUACUGGGCGUAAAGCGCACGUAGGCGGUUCUGUAAGUGGGAUGUGAAACCCCCGGGCUUAACCUGGGACUUGCAUACCAGACUGCAAAGCUAGAGUAUGAGAGAGGGUGGUGGAAUUUCCGGUGUAGCGGUGAAAUGCGUAGAGAUCGGAAGGAACAUCAGUGGCGAAGGCGGCCACCUGGCUUAAUACUGACGCUGAGGUGCGAAAGCGUGGGGAUCAAACAGGAUUAGAUACCCUGGUAGUCCACGCCGUAAACGAUGAGAACUAGCCGUUGGAUUCCUUAGAGGAUUAGUGGCGCAGCUAACGCGAUAAGUUCUCCGCCUGGGGAGUACGGCCGCAAGGUUAAAACUCAAAUGAAUUGA